GCGUGAGUGAAGAAGGCCUUAGGGUUGUAAAGCUCUUUCAGCGGGGAAGAUGAUGACGGUACCCGCAGAAGAAGCCCCGGCUAACUCCGUGCCAGCAGCCGCGGUAAUACGGAGGGGGCUAGCGUUGUUCGGAAUUACUGGGCGUAAAGCGCACGUAGGCGGUGGCGCAUGUCAGAUGUGAAAGCCCCGGGCUUAACCUGGGAAUUGCAUUUGAAACUGCGUCGCUAGAGGCCGGAAGAGGGUAGUGGAAUUCCCAGUGUAGAGGUGAAAUUCGU
rnacentral:rRNA from 1 species